GACGAACCGUGCGAACGUUGUUCGGAAUCACUGGGCUUAAAGGGCGCGUAGGCGGCUCCUCAAGUCGGGGGUGAAAUCUUUCGGCUCAACCGGAAAAGUGCCGCUCGAUACUGGGGAGCUCGAGGGAGGUAGGGGCGGACGGAACUUCCGGUGGAGCGGUGAAAUGCGUUGAUAUCGGAAGGAACGCCGGUGGCGAAAGCGGUCCGCUGGCCCUCUACUGACGCUGAGGCGCGAAAGCCAGGGGAGCAAACGGG
rnacentral:rRNA from 1 species